rnacentral:rRNA from 1 species
UUCGAUUGGAUUAGGCAUGCAAGUCGAACGAGAAAACUUCCUUCGGGAAGUGAGUAAAGUGGCGAACGGGUGAGUAACGCGUGGGAAACCUGCCCUUCAGAGGGGGAUAACAGUCCUAACGGUCUGCUAAUACCGCAUUCGAUCCUUUGACCGCCUGGUCGGAGGAUGAAAGGUGGCCUCUCCUUGGAAGCUGCCGCUGAAGGAUGGUCCCGCGUCCCAGUAGCUUGUUGGUGAGGUAAGGGCUCACCAAGGCGACGAUGGGUAGCCGGCCUGAGAGGGUGUCCGGCCACACUGGGACUGAGAUACGGCCCAGACUCCUACGGGAGGCAGCAGUCGAGAAGCUUCAACAAUGAACAAAAGCCUGACCGAGCGACGCCGCGUGAGCGAUGAAGGCCUUAUUGGCUGUAAAGCUCUGUCAGAUUGGGAAGAAAGCCUGGGGGCUAAUACCCUCCAGGUCUGACGGUACCUUCAGAGGAAGCACCGGCUAACUCCGUGCCAGCAGCCGCGGUAAUACGGAGGGUGCGAGCGUUGUUCGGAUUCACUGGGUAUAAAGGGUGCGUAGGCGGCUUGAUAAGUCAGAGGUGAAAUCUACCGGCUUAACCGGCAAAUUGCCUCUGAAACUGUCUUGCUUGAGUCCGAGAGAGGAAAGUGGAAUUCCUGGUGUAGCGGUGAAAUGCGUAAAUAUCAGGGGGAAUACCAGUGGCGAAGGCGACUUUCUGGCUCGGUACUGACGCUGAGGCACGAAAGCUAGGGGAGCGAACGGGAUUAGAUACCCCGGUAGUCCUAGCCGUAAACGAUGGGCACUAGGUGUUGGAGGAGUCUACCCCUUCAGUGCCGCAGCUAACGCAUUAAGUGCCCCACCUGGGGAGUACGAUCGC